AUUGAACGCUGGCGGCAGGCCUAACACAUGCAAGUCGAGCGAGCGGCGGACGGGUGAGUAAUGUCUGGGAAACUGCCUGCUGGAGGGGGAUAACUACUGGAAACGGUAUCUAAUACCGCAUACCAUCAGAUGUGCCCAGAUGGGAUUAGCUAGUAGGUGGGGUAACGGCCCACCUAGGCGACGAUCCCUAGCUGGUCUGAGAGGAUGACCAGCAACACGGGAACUGAGACACGGUCCAGACUCCUACGGGAGGCAGCAGUGGGGAAUAUUGCACAAUGGGCGCAAGCCUGAUGCAGCCAUGCCGCGGGUGUGAAGAAGGCCUUCGGGUUGUAAAGCACUUUCAGCGGGGAGGCGUUACCCGCAGAAGAAGCACCGGCUAACUCCGUGCCAGCAGCCGCGGUAAUUC
rnacentral:rRNA from 1 species